rnacentral:rRNA from 1 species
AACGCUAGCUACAGGCUUAACACAUGCAAGUCGAGGGGAAACGACAUCGAAAGCUUGCUUUUGAUGGGCGUCGACCGGCGCACGGGUGAGUAACGCGUAUCCAACCUGCCCACCACUUGGGGAUAACCUUGCGAAAGUAAGACUAAUACCCAAUGACGUCUCUAGAAGACAUCUGAAAGAGAUUAAAGAUUUAUCGGUGAUGGAUGGGGAUGCGUCUGAUUAGCUUGUUGGCGGGGUAACGGCCCACCAAGGCAACGAUCAGUAGGGGUUCUGAGAGGAAGGUCCCCCACAUUGGAACUGAGACACGGUCCAAACUCCUACGGGAGGCAGCAGUGAGGAAUAUUGGUCAAUGGACGAGAGUCUGAACCAGCCAAGUAGCGUGCAGGAUGACGGCCCUAUGGGUUGUAAACUGCUUUUAUAAGGGAAUAAAGUGAGAGUCGUGACUCUUUUUGCAUGUACCUUAUGAAUAAGGACCGGCUAAUUCCGUGCCAGCAGCCGCGGUAAUACGGAGGAUCCGAGCGUUAUCCGGAUUUAUUGGGUUUAAAGGGAGCGUAGGUUGACAUAUAAGUCAGCUGUGAAAGUUUACGGCUCAACCGUGAAAUUGCAGUUGAUACUGUAUGUCUUGAGUGUACAAGAGGUGGGCGGAAUUCGUGGUGUAGCGGUGAAAUGCUUAGAUAUCACGAAGAACUCCGAUUG